CACCCCAUCUCCUCCCCCACAGCAUGGACAGGAGGUGCGCAGACCUGGAGUCCAGCCUGAAGCACCUGGGCAAGGCAGAGCUGAAGGAGUUCAAGGUCAAACUGAACAAGUAUAAGCCCCAGGGAGGCUGCGCGGCCACUUCGUGGAGCCCUACGCCUUGCAGGUAGCUGCCGACAUCAUGGCUCUCAUCAACAAGAAGGACCUGGAGUCGACGCUGCGGCAGGCCCAUGACCUGAUCUCCAUCGAAGCCGUGCAGCUGCGAUAGCCCACCUUGGACAGAGAUGCUGGAGGCUGCAGACAUGGCCGGUGACUGACCACACAGGCGGCCAAGGCAGCACGUGCCUGAGCAGCGAAUGACGUGAGUUGCAGCUGUACACUAUGCAAUGAGUAACCAAGCAGCUUGCCUUUCCCAUGAAAGAUAGCUAGAAACCAGCAAUAGAGUUGUUUCAAGCACCAACGUUGUAGCUGGCUAAAUCUUUUGUAACUGGACGGCUAUUUUUCUAUCACGGUCAUUUCUUUAUACAUGCGGCCGGCGUGAAUAAAUGGCAUGGUGGAGCAGUC